UGCUCUAUGGGAGGUUUCUGUCCUCCCUGAGCUCGCCUUAGGACACCUGCGUUACUGUUUGACUGGUGUACCGCCCCAGUCAAACUCCCAACCUGCCACUGUCCCCGCGGUUCACGACCGCCGCGGUCCA